AUCAUGACCUGAGCCGAAGGCAGUCGUCCAACCAACUGAGCCACCCAGGCGUCCCUACAGAGACUUUUAAUAUGAAUGUAAAACUGAGUGGCUAUUCAGCGCCGAUACCUAGAGUUGAAUGCCCAUAAGUCCGCUGGGACCCUGGAGAGCCCCAGACCUGAACCCUACGGGCGCUCCGAUCACUCGGAACCCUGGCUCGGCCACUGUCUGUGAGCGCAGCCCGACACGGCCCUGCAUGGUGUUGUCCAAACGGAUUCCUGCAGACAGAGGGGCGCCUGGGUGGCUCAGUCGGUUAAGCGGCUG